AAUGUACUUCAAUGGACUUUAUGGGGAACAAGAAGACAUCUUCUCACUAGGGCUACAAAGUGCAUAGAAUGCAUGUUGGAUGCUCUGUUACUGUGAAGGGAGAGUCACCCAGAUAAUAAAGCCAGCAUUGAGGUCAAGAGGAACAGCAUCGAUUGUUAAUAUGCUGUCUGCUUUCAACCCCCAAAGGAUUAUUUUCAGAAUGAAAUGAUCUGUGGUCUUUAAGGGGUGGGGAUGGGAGGAGCUGAAGAACUCUCGAUCCUUCGAAGAGGUCCCAGUGGACUUGAUUUCUCAGUGGAAACAGAGGGAUUUCCUUCUGCAGUGGGAAAGAGACACGAAGUGAUAAACCGAGCACCCUCUUUGAAGAUUUCCCAGUAUAUUUGUCCCUAGAGGAGUGCGCCUCCGGGAGAUUUAUUGUUGGAAGCUUUUAUCCUCAAGCGUAAUUUUUAGAACACCUGCCAUCUUGUGGAAAGGGACUUGCUUCCCAAGAGAUGAGAAAUGGACAGGAGUGGAGCCUGAGUCCAAGUACUGUGAUUUCUUAUCUCCCACAAAUGUGCAGGAAUAUUUAGUCAGGGAGAUCAUCUUCCUGGAGAAAUUGGCCCAUCCUACUCCUAGAGUGCUGUGUUAGUUGUAGUUCCUCCAGGUGCCACCUCGAAGACCAGGGUCAGAGUACAGUCGCUUACAUGGGAGGUAAAUCCACAAAACAGUGGCGGAAGAGGGGGAAAAUGAGACAAGGAUGGGAAGGCAAUCAGGAAAGGGCAUGUUAUCAAGCAAGGCACUGUUCUGGGCAAUUGGAGCUUACACCUGCUAGGGAAGCCUGAGACAGUGGGGAACAUGUACCUCACAGUGAUGCUCGUGAGGGCCGGGGGAACUGGGAUAUUAAUCCACCAAUUCCAUCUGUUACUGAUUGAGGGCUGCUUACUGGCGGUAUUGAUUCCCUGGCACUUCAGGUCAGAGAAAGCCUUCGGUCAUAGAGAACAUGAAGCCAUGGGGCCCAGAGUGCCCAGGGCUGAGUGGAUGUGGGCGAUGGCCAAUGACAAUGGCUACCAACAGUGGAUUGGAUCUUUGGCAUCUCAUUUCUUCUAAGUCUCCUUAACCUCUGUGCUUGGUGCUGAGGUGAAGCAAACAAUUAAGAUCCAGUGUUGUCCUUAGGAUGCUCACACUUCAGUGAGGGAGUUGAGGAAGCUAAACAGGCUUGAAGAGCAAAGACUGAGGUUUCCAAACGAAGACACCAUUAUGUCUCAAGACUGGAACAUGGAAACCCUGCCUGAGUUUUCUACCUGCUGGCCUACCUGCAGAUUCAGACACUAGACUGCAACAUCAACUCGUACUUGAAUUUCCAGUCUGCCUGUCUGCCCUACAGAUUUUGGACUUGCCAGCCCCCACAAUUGCAUGAGCAAAUUAAAAAAAAAAAUCUUAUUUCUCUCUC
ensembl:lncRNA LINC01524 long intergenic non-protein coding RNA 1524